rnacentral:lncRNA from 1 species
CAUAACCCAAUGAUUAUAAAGAAUGUGGUUUCCACAAAAGUAGAUAAAAAUAGGCAAGAAUGAAAACAAGAACUACAAAAUUUACUUUCUCUAACUCUAAUGAACUCAGAGGCUCCUUAAGAGUAGCAUGGAUGUGAUAAAUUGUCUCGUAGCCUGCAACAACAAGUUGGAAGCAACAACAAGUUGGAAGCAACAACACCCAUGCCCCCUAUAAUUUAUCAUUUUCAUAAAUUUCCCCAAUAUUUCUAAUUUUUUUCUAAACCAACCCCUAUAAUAAAUAAAUUAAUACUAGCUCCCCCCACCACCUCUAAAAUUCUGCUACUACCGACACAUAUUUUCCACUACGACUCGUACACGUGUCAAUUUUAAAGUACUACCAUCGUUAUCA